rnacentral:rRNA from 1 species
UACAGAGGGGGCAAGCGUUAUUCGGAAUUAUUGGGCGUAAAGGGCGCGUAGGCGGCUUGGCAAGUGGAAGGUGAAAUCCCUCGGCUUAACCUGGGAACUGCGUCGGAUACUGGAUGGCUUGAAUCCGGGAGAGGGAUGCGGAAUUCCAGGUGUAGCGGUGAAAUGCGUAGAUAUCUGGAGGAACACCGGUGGCGAAGGCGGCAUCCUGGACCGGCAUUGACGCUGAGGAGCGAAAGCCAGGGGAGCAAACGGG